rnacentral:tRNA from 1 species
CAAAAAGUAGUUUAAUUUAGAAUUCUAGCUUUGGGAGUUAGAGGCAGGAGUUAAAAUCUCUUCUUUUUG